UAUUUAUAAUUCUUUCAGUCAGAUUUCCUGGAGAACAAUAGUUGUUAGGUGCCUACCAGAAAAUAGGACUAGAAAGUCAUGUUGGAGCCAUAUUGUGGAAGUCCAAGGAAGUCGGAUGGGAGCAAAGGUCAUUUCAAUUAUAUAUCAAGCUUAUAUUCUAUGGAAACUAACCCCUUCCUAGCACAUAUAUUAUUGAAAAAUUAUUCACCUGCUAUUUUAUCAAUGUCAUUUAUAAAUUAAAAUUUUUCUUAUUAUAACUAUACCUUAAAAACACCAAUAAAAUUGCCAGAUCACUGAUAUUCCUGCUUUUAUUAUUAUAAGAUAAUAUAUCAGUUCUUCAAAUACACCUUUGAGUAGAAGGAUGGAACUGAAAAUUGAUUUGGGUUUAUUUAAAAGAGAAACCUUUCAACAAUCCUAAAUCUCAGAUUUUUAAUAGCAUUUUUGUUGUUUGAGUAUGGCCAGUUUCCUAUUUAUUUCCUAUUUCUUAUUGUUUGACAGUGCCCAUUUAUGUAGGAAAAUCAAAAUGGAAAAGUACAUUAGAAAACGUAUAAAUCCUUCAACUUAAAGAUGUAUGAUAUUGGUAUCUGGUUGCAUAAGUUUCUAGUCAGAGGCUUUUCUAGUCAUUUCUGUUCAAAAGUGGGAUCCACCAGAAUGUACACGUGAUGAUGGACCUUGUCUGUCUGUUCCCCAGUUUAUUGUUACUAUGAGAAUAAUGCCUAGCAGAGAGCAGGCAGUCUGUAAAUACUUGUUGAGUGUAUACAUGAAUAAGUCCUUUUGUACUACUGUUUUGUAACGUACUGUAACUUUUAUUUUAUUUUUUUGAGAUAGGGUCUCAUUUUGUCACCCAGGCUGGAAUGCAGUAGCGUGAUCUCAGCUCACUGCAGCCUUGACCUCCUGUGCUCAAGCCAUCCUCCCACCUUAGCCCCCAAAUUAGCUGGGACUACAGGCAUGCGCCACCACACCUGGCUAAUUAUUAUUAUUAUUAUUCUUGUUUGUAUUUUUUGUAGAGGUGAGGUUUCGCCAUAUUGCUCAGGGUGGUCUUGAACUCCUGAGCUCAAGCAAUCCACAUGCCUCAGCCUCCCAAAGUGCUAGGGAUUACAGGCAUAAGCCACCACACCUGGCCGCUGUAAUUUUUAAAAUAGACAAUUUGUCAGAUAUAUAGGUUGGGAUAAACGAAAAUGUGACAAAAGGAGCGUCCCUCUGCCAAUUUAGAAAUAUAAAUAUGCAUAAAAAUACUUAAAGAUACACGAAGCUUUGGGAAAUUGCCAUACACACACUCUAUCCCCAGUAUACCAGUAUUUUACAGAUUUUAAAACCAGUAACAAAUAUUUAUUUACAAUACCAUUCUGCCUAAAAUUUACCUAUUAGCCAGAUUGCUUUAUGCAUUUGGUCAAAUUGCAUUUAGUCAAAUUGUUUUCAGCCAAACCUUAUGCGCACAUGCUAGCCAGUGGGAUGAUAAGAGACAAGAGAUGUAGUCUGUCUUCUUGAGGUAUUCUCAUAUUUCCGGGCACAUAAAUACAGUAUUGAAUGAAAACUUACAGGAUGCUCCAGGGUCACAAAGGAGGGACAUCUAAGUUAACCUGGGAUUGGGAUGGCCCAAUGAGUCUUCUCAAAAGAAGUGCUUGAAAUGACCAGUUGGAGGGCAGGAGCUGUGUUUUAUUUGACUUUAUAUUUACUGCUUUGUAGAUAAUCUAUACUAAAUAAUUAUUGGAUGAAAUAAUCAUUGAAAUCUGAAAUAAUUAUUCAUGUAGUAAUUUAUUGGAUGAAUAAAUGAAAUCAAGUUGAAGAUGCAUGGGAACAUAUUUAAACUGUUGUAUCUUGGGAUUUAAGCUGGAUGAAAAAAUAAGUCAAAGGAAGCAUUUAUGUGGGGAGAAAUGGAAGCUACAUAUCUCUUUAAAAUCAAAGAUUAUUCCUAAUGGAAAAUAAGGAAAAGAGAAAAUUUGAAUUCUGGGAGACUUAGGUUUCUGAGAAGUUCUUUCAGAUAAUGACAAUUCAAGAGUGGUUCUUUGAGGUAGGAGAUGGCUGAAGUGGGGCAAAAAUAAUAGUUAUUUAAUGAUAUUAAUAAGUUAUGAGGUUAGAAUGUUGAGGACAGGUUAUAUAGAGGACAUUGAAACUGCCAAAGAUAUGGUAACUCAGAUAUGUUAGUUGGUCUUAACUCAAAAGGUAAAAAGACAGUCAUAAUCUUAUAUUCCUGUAAUUUGCACCAGAUUUAAAAUAUAGAAUACUGAGCUCAAAGACUCAGAAAUGGUUUAUUUUGAUUAGAUGCUUCCCAAAUGGCAUUAAUAUUUAAAGAGAAAAAAACAAAAAGAAAAGAAAAAUAAAAUCCCAACAAAACUUAGGUUUUUCAAGACACAAGACUAUUGCGGCUAAAACUGUACAAAAAAGAUAAAAAAAAAUUUUCUACACUUUUAUUGGAAAGAUGAAUUGCAUGUGCAGGUGGCAAGAUGAAUUGUGUGUGCAGGUGACCUAGCCCAGGUAGUGGUCUUAGUGUGAAUGCUUAUGCUAAAUAUGUCCCUAGAAAUAAAAACAUCUAGACUUCUUAAAUAUACUGGAUUAAAAUGAUCCUGAAUUAAUUCAUCUAAACAUUAAGAUAACUGGCUUUUCUACUUCAAACACAAUUUUGCAUAGAAGAUCUUUCAAUACUGAAGCAAAGAAGUGGCCUUGGGACUCUCUAAGGGUAGAAAUCUGGGAUAAAAAUGUGUGUGUGAGUGUGUGUGUGUGUGUGUGUGUGUGUGUGUGUGUGGUCAGAAUGUGGAGUUCAAGCCACUGCAUCUGCAGUGCGGAAGAAAGGAAGUGAGUUGGGUUGGGAAUGCACCUAAUCCCCUCCAGUAUUAAAAGGUGGAAAAAUGCCAGUGAAAAUUCAAGGUUCAAGAUUAUUGCAAAGGUGGGUAGGGUUAUUAAAUCACAUAUUUAAAUAACAGUGCAGUGCAGAGCCAUAUUGGAGCCUGAAGCAAAGGAAAAAUUUGUGUUAUUUAACAUUUUGAUGUUCAUUUUGUACAUCACAGAUUUUACAUUAAUUUUGAUUUUUAUAAAUAUUGUGUUAAAAUAUUAUUUCUUUUGAUUAGUGAGUUUUAGUGCCUCCUUAAAGUUUGCACCUGAGACCAAUGCCUCACUCAUCUCACCAUAGUCCUCAGCAGAUCAAGAAGGCUUUCAGGUUCCCUGACCUCCAUCUCCAAGACCAUUAGGCAGAAAGGCCUGUAAAUUGAACCACAUGGGGUUUCAGGCAAGGGAGGCUUCAUUGCUGAAAUGAUAGUGCUCAAUGGAUGAAUAAAAUGAAGCCAUGUUAUUGCUGGCCCCAAACAUGGUUAAAUGAACUAUCUGUAUGAUAAAAGGACCUGGAAAUCACUGGAAUGUGGGCUGUUGCUACAUGCCCAAGACAUUGAAAAAUAGGUUAUUGAUUUUGGUCACAUCCAGUCAAAACAUAUCUAAAUGUGGUAGAAUCAUGAAAUUAAAUUGAAUUAUACUCCAUAUAUGGUGGUUUUGUUUAUAUGAUGGAACUUAGGCUGUUUUGAAAAUACAGAUCUAGAACAUGUUUCACCUAUACUUUUGGGAUAAAGUUUUUUGGAAACCUUCUUGAUCACUCUUGAUAUUAUUUGGGAUACAUUUUCUGAUGUUUAAAUUUUGUUUUUAAGAUGUCAGAUGGAUUAAUCUCUAAAGUUCCUUGUAAGAAGCUAGGAUCUGUUAC
rnacentral:lncRNA from 10 species